UACGGGGGGGGCAAGCGUUGUUCGGAAUUACUGGGCGUAAAGGGCUCGUAGGUGGCCAACUAAGUCAUACGUGAAAUCCCUCAGCUUAACUGGGGAACUGCGCCUGAUACUGGUUGGCUUGAGUUUGGGAGAGGGACGCGGAAUUCCAGGUGUAGCGGUGAAAUGCGUAGAGAUCAUGAGGAAGACCAGUGGCGAAGGCGGGUCUCUGGACAGUUCCUGACACUGAGACACGAAGGCCAGGGGAGCAAACGGG
rnacentral:rRNA from 1 species